ACUAGUGACAACCCUGUGUAUAGAUGCAUUAUUAUUAUUAUGCUAUGGCUCAGCAAUUUGUUAUAAGCAGAUCUGUAGAAAUUAGUCAUGUCAUUGUCCAGCUCAGUUCAGUUCUCAUUCCAAUAGCAUCAGUACAUCAUUUAUAAUAAUGGAAUGAAUAAACUUGCACUGAAUAUACUGCGUAGUUGUUUGUUUGUUUUCUAGGAGAGCGUCAACCCCUAAUUGACAUAAGGGGAAAAAUCAUUGAAAAGUGUUCAGCGUACAGUGUACCCCUCUUUGCAACAGAGGAAGCAUUAUAGUAAAGAGAGUAGAGAGAAAGUGAGAAGGCACUCAACAGAUGUUGGAAUAUGCACUGGUAACAACUAAACAAAGAAGACCAACAAUAUAAUUCAACAGAAGAUGAUGGCUGUGGUGAAACAAGCGCUCAAAUAAUGGAACUAAGACCUGUGGGAGUGCUGGAGAAAUCAAGUAUAAAGUCCUCUGUCUCCUCAGCCAUGUAAGAGAUCUUCAGUCAUGAAGAGAUUGAGGAGUUAAAAGAAAUCAAAGAACUAAAAGAAGAGUUACAAUAUUAGUGCCAAUUCAGAAUGAAAACAGAGAGGGAGCUGAGAGAGUGGAAAGGUAAUGAAAUCUAGUUUUAUAAGCAAUUCUUCUCAA